ACUUUUUCUUUUUCUUUUCUUCUUUGUUCACUUGAAACCGUCGGUUCAGUUCCACGUGUUGCUGCUCAGUCCGGUAAAAUGAAGAUGAUAAAAAUAAUGCAGUCUCUAACUCUCCUGGUUUUAAUGAGUUUCUGGAAAAUAGGUCUACUGACAGAUGCAGAGGUUUCCUGUGUCGUCAAGCAGAGCUGCGUCUUCCCCUGCAGCUUCCAGAGCGACAGUGAACCCGUCAUCCACUGGACUCAGCUGCAAUCCUCAGAGCUCACAGUUCACUCUUAUUAUAGCAACCAGGACCAGCUAGACCUCCAGAACCAGAACUUCAGAGGCAGAACGUCUCUGUUUCAGGAUCAGAUCUCCAGAGGAAACGCUUCCCUGCUGCUGAGAGAGGUCAAAGUUCAGGAUCAGGGAAGAUACAACUGCUUCAUCAGCACCAUUAAAGGACAUCAAGAUUCAAUAAUAAGACUGAGUGUGGACGCUCCAGGUUCUGACAUCAGAAUCCAUCAGGAUGGAAACAGAACCACCUGCAGCUCAGAGGGGAUCUACCCUCAACCUGAACUCACCUGGUCCACUGAGCCUCCAUCCAACACGACUCUGCAGAACAGAACCACAGUCCAUCAGACUGAAGAGAAGCUUUAUGACAUCAGCAGCUCUCUGAUUGAUCCAGACGGUUCUGAUUGGAUCUACAGCUGCACCAUCAGAACCAGGAGCAACCAGAGGAGAGCAACGUUCAGGAAACUAUCAUCAGUUACGGUGACGACAGAUGAAACGACGCUUCCCUGCUUGGGCCUGAACGGUUCAGUCUGUAGUUUGGAGAUUCGACCAUCAGAUGGUUCUGAAUCAGACGGGAAGGAACCGGUCCGUGUCAGAGAGGUGGAGGAAACAUGUGAGGGACGUUUCAGAGCUUGGAGACCUCAGUCUGCAGGGACUCGAUCCCGAUCUGGAGGGAAAGUACAGCUGUGAGACCAGCGACGGACAUGACACCACGGUAACCCAGAUCACUGUGAAGAGAGACGAUAAAUCAUCCUGGAUAAUUUGGUUGGUGAUUGGAAUCAUUUUUGUGAUAGUGAUGUUUCUGCUGUGUUUCUACUGGAAAAUUAUUGUACUGAUGCGGAGCAGGACGGGAGCCUGAUGUACUGAUGGUUUCCUCCAAACACAUUUCAGCGCUGCUGUAAUUCAAAACCAGAAGGAUUUUUCUCAUAAAGGCCAAACUAUCAGCUUGAUUUGGUUAUUUUUAUUUAUGUUUAUUUUAUUUCAGACAGUCACUGUUGGCCUCAUCAGUCUGAUAGAGAAACAGAUUUAUAAUUAGAAUCUGUUUUAUUAAAAAUAAUCUUUACCUAUAAAUACAUUCAUGUGAAAAAUUAGGACAUCAUCUUAAAUAUUUAGUCUCUCCAAAGAUAAAAAAACAUCUUUUAUUUUAAAAGAUGUUUAACCAUUUUAUUGUUUUACUGCGUCUCAACAACAAACAAAUGACAUUUGUGUAAUUUGUUUAAAUAUACGGUCAAUUAAAUAGUAUUUGUCACCAGUCAAUCUUUCAUAGAUAUAAAAGAUGUUCAGCUGGUGCAUCAUUCAGUAUGAAAUCCCCCAAAAGAGAAAAAUCACUGACUGAAUUUUUCCUUCUUACAUUUUAUUUAUUCUUCUUUAGUUAAACAUCUUGUCCACAUAUUUUAACUUUGUUCCAUUAAAUCAUUUUUGGGGUUUUUGGAGGUUAAAGUGUGAUUGAACUGGAAACAUUUCAAAACUAAUUUCAACAUUUCACUCCCAAUGACUGCAAAUAUUUAUUUUAUUUAACUUUAAAUAUGUUUGUACAUAAAUGUACAGUUGAAUAGAGUCUAAUAUGUAAGGAUGAAGCCAAUAAUUGCAACAUUAUGACUCCCUUAAAAUGCAGUGAUGAAGGAAACUGAUCAAAAUAAAUGUCACCAUCUUAUUUUCAGUGGAUUAAAGUGAAACCAUUAAAUCCCAACAGCUGAGUUUACUGCAGCUCAGUGAAGAUAAAUAAUCCCUUAAUGUAAAAUCUAAUGAAGACAAACUGACUGAUGAGGCCAUUAGUGUUUUAAUGUUUACAUGUAUAACCUGAAUGUUUGCAGCACUUUAAGUCAUGAUGUUGUGUUUUCUGCAGUUUAAUGUUUCUGAUCUAAUCUGUUGUUGCUACAUGACUUGAAUAAAAAUGUUUAUCUUCUGUUUUUGCUGUUGCCUUUAACCUCAUUUAUUCAUCUGAUGAAUCCUCCUGACAUGUAAAUAUCUGUAGCAAAAUAUUCCCAAAUGUAACAAGUUUUAUCACUUCAUUCUAAACAGAAACACAAAUCAUCCUCAUGUAUUUUGGUGAUCAAUGUUACGCUGUUGGAAAA